rnacentral:rRNA from 1 species
UACGUAGGUGGCAAGCGUUGUCCGGAUUACUGGGCGUAAAGAGCGCGCAGGCGGCCAAGUCAGUCGAAUGUGAAAGCCCCCGGCUUAACUGGGGAGGGUCAUUCGAUACUGCUCGGCUCGAAGACAGGAGAGGGAAGCGGAAUUCCCGGUGUAGUGGUGAAAUGCGUAGAUAUCGGGAGGAACACCAGUGGCGAAGGCGGCUUUCUGGCCUGUUCUUGACGCUGAGGCGCGAAAGCUAGGGGAGCAAAC